rnacentral:rRNA from 1 species
CGAGGUGAUCAUCGCGGAGGGGCCACACCCGUUCCCAUUCCGAACACGGCCGUUAAGCCCUCCAGCGCCGAUGGUACUGCCUGGGAGACUGGGUGGGAGAGUAGGUCGUCGCCUCGU